rnacentral:rRNA from 1 species
UACAGAGACUGCAAGCGUUAUUCGGAUUCACUGGGCGUAAAGGGUGCGCAGGCGGCCGUAUGUGUGAGGCGUGAAAGCCCGGGGCUUAACCCCGGAAUUGCACCUCAAACUAUACGGCCAGAGCAUUGGAGAGGGUAGCAGAAUUCAUGGUGUAGCAGUGAAAUGCGUAGAUAUCAUGAGGAAUACCAGAGGCGAAGGCGGCUACCUGGACAAUUGCUGACGCUCAGGCACGAAAGCGUGGGGAGCAAACGGG